rnacentral:ncRNA from 2 species
CAUGAACGCGCCAUGUUCGGUUCCGGGGACGUCCUCGGAAGCAAUAGGGAAUGCAGUGCGGUACACUUCGUGCCAACUCUGCAACUGCCCCCGCAACUGUAGGCGGCGAGCGCGGCUGAUUUUGCCACUGGGAUAUCCCGGGAAGGCCAGCUGAGCGCUUUGACCCGCAAGUCAGGAGACCUGCCGAACAUGCGCCCCCGGA